UACGGAGGGGGCUAGCGUUGUUCGGAAUUACUGGGCGUAAAGCGUACGUAGGCGGCUUUGUAAGUUAGAGGUGAAAGCCUGGAGCUCAACUCCAGAACUGCCUUUAAGACUGCAUCGCUUGAAUCCAGGAGAGGUAAGUGGAAUUGCGAGUGUAGAGGUGAAAUUCGUAGAUAUUCGCAGGAACACCAGUGGCGAAGGCAGCCCCCUGGGUCAAGAUUGACGCUCAUGCACGAAAGCGUGGGGAGCAAACAGG
rnacentral:rRNA from 1 species